CACAUUCACAUGAAUUUGUUUUUGUUCUUUUUGGUUGGGAAACAGACAGAUACACAUGUUCAAAAACUACACAUAAAUUUCAUUUAAUAGGCAAGACUGCACUAGGAAUCAAGAUGAUGCCAUGGCUACUAACCAAAUACAGCUACUAUUACUAUGUACUAUCAAGUGAAGAGCUUGAAGAUAUCAAAUUCUAUAACCAUACAGGUGCCAAUGAACAAAGAAUGUUAUUCAUGUAUGUUUAAGGUACUGGUACUGAAAUUAAUUAGGGAUACGAAAAGAUUAAGAACGAUUCUUAGGCUAAUCUAAUUCCUCGGUCUCAGAAGCCAUUAUUACAAGUCUGAAAAUGAAAAACUUGCAACAAGGUUAAAAUCAUUAAAUUAUAGAAGAGAAGAAAAUCAUGAACAAGUCAUGAAAGGUUAUGUGAGAUCCCACAUCGGUUGGAGAGGGGAACGAAACAUUUCUUAUAAGGCUGUGGAAACUCCUCCCUAACAGACGUGUUUUAAAACCAUGAGGCUGACAACGAUACGUAACGA